rnacentral:rRNA from 1 species
GAAUAAAAGUCGUAACAAGGUCUCCGUUGGUGAACCAGCGGAGGGAUCAUUACAAGAAGCCGAAAGGCUACUUAAAACCAUCGCGAACUUAUCCAAGUUGCUUCGGCGGCGCGGCUCCCCUCACGGGGUACCGCAGCCCCGCCUCUCACGAGGUAUGGGCACCCGCCGGAGGUACGAAACUCUGUAUUAUAGUGGUAUCUCUGAGUAAAAAACAAAUAAGUUAAAACUUUCAACAACGGAUCUCUUGGUUCUGGCAUCGAUGAAGAACGCAGCGAAAUGCGAUAAGUAAUGUGAAUUGCAGAAUUCAGUGAAUCAUCGAAUCUUUGAACGCACAUUGCGCCCGCUAGUACUCUAGCGGGCAUGCCUGUUCGAGCGUCAUUUCAACCCUCAAGCUCUGCUUGGUGUUGGGGCCCUACGGCUGCCGUAGGCCCUGAAAGGAAGUGGCGGGCUCGCUACAACUCCGAGCGUAGUAAUUCAUUAUCUCGCUAGGGAAGUGUAGUGUGCUCCUGCCGUUAAAGACCCCAUCUUUAACCAAGGUUGACCUCGGAUCAGGUAGGAAUACCCGCUGAACUUAAC